AGGAAAGUCCCGUGAUACAUCUGUGGGAAAUGCACUUCACAAGAGUUUAUCCAUGAGGUUGACUGCAGUGGCCUUCAGAAUGGGCACAGCUUUUUUUUGGAAGGGAUUUACAGUGAACUGCAGGUGUCGUGGCCCUGUGGGCUGUAUGGUACUAUUGUGAGAGGAACAAUGGCACAGAAAGCUUGGGAACCGCUGCUUUGCUUUGUUCUCGGCUAUUGUCUGUUCCCAGGAUGUCCAUCAGGAUAAUGACAAAAAAGGAAGAGAAUUGGCCCAGUAUACCCAAAACAAAAACUGGAGCAGCGAACCCAGAGCUUCAGCAACUAUGAAGCAGAAAUCAGCGGGGUUGAUGAGUUUACUGUGAGUUUUUCCAAACAUUUCCUUCUGUACACUUAAAAAUAAAGGUUCCCGAAGGGAGGUUUUACAGUCAUGUUGUAGAAGAGCCAUUCUGUUUUCCCCAAAGAACCUUUCAGUGAGUAGAUCUUAAAAGAACCAGUUCUUCUUAGUGUUAAGAACACUUUAGAACCAUUUUUUCCACUAUAAAGAACCUUUUAUUUAAUGGAAAGUUUCCAUGGAUGUUAAAGUUUCUUCGUGGAACCAUAAAUGCCAUAACCAUAAAUAAAAAAACCUUCAUUUUCAAAAGUGUAUUGAACUAGGAAUAAAGAUGCUAGCCCAGUCAAUUCAGAGCAUGGAUACUAAGACAUAGUUGCACAGUUGGCCAUAUUAUAAGAUAAAAUUAUGGUAAACCAGUAUAAAUCCUGAAAAUAGACAGGGAGAGGAGUCUAUUGCAGAUGUGAGAUAAAUGCUGUUCCUCUGAACAGAACC